rnacentral:rRNA from 1 species
UUAAAGGAAUUGACGGAGGGGCACCACCAGACGUGGAUGUUGCGGUUCAAUUUGACUCAACGCAGCAAAUCCUACCAGGCCAGGACACAGGAAGGAUUGACAGAUUGAGAGCUCUUUCUUGAUUCUGUGGGUGGUGGUGCAUGGCCGUUCCUGGUUCGUGGAGCGAUUUGUCUUGUUUAUUCUGAUAACGGACGAGAUUCUAGCCUACUAAAUAGACGCUUCGAUCCUCCGAGUCGAGCGUUCUUCUUAGAGGGACAGGCGGUGUUCAGCCGCACGAGGCAGAGCAAUAACAGGUCUGUAAUGCCCUUAGAUGUCCUGGGCCACACGCGUCCUACAUUGAAGGAAUCAACGUGUGCUUUCCCUGUCCGAAGGGACCGGGUAACCCGUUGAACCUCCUUCGUGCUGGGGAUAGGCAAAUUGUAAUUAUUUUGCCUUGAACGAGGAACUUCUAGUAAGCGCGAGUCAUCAUCUCGUGUUGAUUAGGUCCCUGCCCCUUGUCCACACCGCCCGUCGCUAUUACCGAUUGAAUGAUUUAGUGAGGUCUUCGGACUGGCGCUCGGAUUGGCUUUCGGGUCGAGCCGGCGUGCCGGAAAGAUGACCGAACUUGACCAUUUAGAGGAAAUAAAAGUCGUAACAAGGUUUCCU